rnacentral:rRNA from 1 species
GUGGGGAAUAUUGGACAAUGGGGGGAACCCUGAUCCAGCCAUGCCGCGUGUGUGAAGAAGGCCUUUUGGUUGUAAAGCACUUUAAGCGAGGAGGAGGCUACCGAGAUUAAUACUCUUGGAUAGUGGACGUUACUCGCAGAAUAAGCACCGGCUAACUCUGUGCCAGCAGCCGCGGUAAUACAGAGGGUGCAAGCGUUACUCGGAUUUACUGGGCGUAAAGCGCGCGUAGGUGGCCAAUUAAGUCAGAUGUGAAAUCCCCGAGAUUAACUUGGGAAUUGCAUUCGAUACUGGUUGGCUAGAGUAUGGGAGAGGAUGGUAGAAUUCCAGGUGUAGCGGUGAAAUGCGUAGAGAUCUGGAGGAAUACCGAUGGCGAAGGCAGCCAUCUGGCCUAAUACUGACACUGAGGUGCGAAAGCAUGGGGAGCAAACAGGAUUAGAAACCCGGGUAGUCC